rnacentral:rRNA from 1 species
AGGAUGAACGCUGGCGGUGUGCCUAAUACAUGCAAGUCGAACGAGACCUUCGGGUCUAGUGGCGGACGGGUGAGUAACACGUUGGUACCUACCCCGAAGUGGGGAAUAACUGCCCGAAAGGGUGGCUAAUACCGCAUAAUACCGCAAGGUUAAAGCAGUAAUGCGCUUCGGGAGGGGCCUGCGUCCCAUUAGCUUGUUGGUAGUGUAAUAGACUACCAAGGCGACGAUGGGUAGCUGGAUCGAGAGGUUGACCAGCCACACUGGGACUGAGAUACGGCCCAGACUCCUACGGGAGGCAGCAGUAAGGAAUCUUCCACAAUGGAC